UGGGGAAUAUUGGACAAUGGGCGCAAGCCUGAUCCAGCCAUGCCGCGUGAGUGAUGAAGGCCCUAGGGUUGUAAAGCUCUUUCACCGGUGAAGAUAAUGACGGUAACCGGAGAAGAAGCCCCGGCUAACUUCGUGCCAGCAGCCGCGGUAAUACGAAGGGGGCUAGCGUUGUUCGGAUUUACUGGGCGUAAAGCGCACGUAGGCGGACUUUUAAGUCAGGGGUGAAAUCCCGGGGCUCAACCCCGGAACUGCCUUUGAUACUGGAAGUCUUGAGUAUGGUAGAGGUGAGUGGAAGUGCGAGUGUAGAGGUGAAAGUCGUAGAUAUUCGGAGGAAGACCAGUGGCGAAGGCGGCUCACUGGACCAUUACUGACGCUGAGGUGCGAAAGCGGGGGGAGCAAACAGG
rnacentral:rRNA from 1 species